rnacentral:tRNA from 1 species
UACGAAUGUGGCGAAAUGGUAGACGCGAAAGCUUCAAAAGCUUUUCUCCUCAAGGUGGUGUAGGUUCAAGUCCUAUCAUUCGUAU